ACGAAGGGUGCAAGCGUUACUCGGAAUUACUGGGCGUAAAGCGUGCGUAGGCGGUUCGUUAAGUCAGAUGUGAAAGCCCCGGGCUCAACCUGGGAAUUGCAUUUGAUACUGGCGGGCUAGAGUACGGUAGAGGGUGGUGGAAUUCCCGGUGUAGCAGUGAAAUGCGUAGAGAUCGGGAGGAACAUCUGUGGCGAAGGCGGCCACCUGGACCAGUACUGACGCUGAGGCACGAAAGCGUGGGGAGCAAACAGGA
rnacentral:rRNA from 1 species